rnacentral:rRNA from 1 species
CCCCUAGAUGUUCUGGGCCGCACGCGCGCUACACUGAACAGUUCAACAAGUCUUAACCUUGGCCGAUAGGUCUGGGUAAUCUUUGAACGCUGUUCGUGACUGGGAUAGACCUUUGCAAUUAUGGGUCUUCAACGAGGAAUUCCUAGUAAACGCAAGUCAUCAGCUUGCAUUGAUUACGUCCCUGCCCUUUGUGCACACCGCCCGUCGCACCUACCGAUUGAAUGGUCCGGUGAAAUCUCGGGACGGCGGCUUGGUCGCUUGCGUCCGACUGCUGAAACUUGAUUAAACCAUAUCAUUUAGAGGAAGGUGAAGUCGUAACA